CUAAAUCCUGGACAGUGAUUCCACGUGGCCAAGCCCAGCACAGAAAUACAUGCGUCCCUUAGCUCUCCUCAGUGUUACAAUCCUCCACUGUCAAUCUGAGGACAUAAAUCACAGCCCCAACAGAGCUCUGCUGCUGACUUUUAGAAACAACAACCAAGAGUCAGUUAGAAGGGCAGCAGACUGCCACAUGAGCUUUUUUAUGAAACAGCUUCAUAUUAACUUUGGAUCCAAGGCAAAAAUCAUGAGCAGCAACAGAUCCUCUCCAUGCAGGUCCUCACCAAGUCCACUUCACACACUUUGCUUUGUUGGCAAACUUCUCUGGACCUCAGCUUCCACAGCUCCAGCUACACCAAGAAUAUCUUCUAAUACUUAUGUCUUUGGAGACUAAUUAACCUCUGGUUCUGUAAGGUGAAAACAGCAACAACAGCCUUUACAUCACCACAGAUAAAUCAAACAAACCGAUGUAAAUCAGCAGAGCUAAGAAGCAAAUAUCUAGCUUUUCUGAAUUAAAUUGAAAAUCUUCCUUGACAUCUGAGGCUUGAUAUCUUUCAGCAGAGAUGACAGCCCUGAAACUACUUUCCCACUGCCAAGUAGAAUGAAUAUAAAAAACGACUCAGGGCAUCAUUUACAUAUCACACAGACACUUCAAGCUGGCAAGCUUGUUGCUUAGUAAAGAAAAUACAAAUAAAGUGGGGCUUUGGGGAUUGGCCCUGGGCCACUUAAGUUAGUAUGGUAGGUGCUAGCUAGUUGGUUAAUUAAGCAGUUCUGUCUUAGAAGGGUUAAGGAAGGAGCAGAGUAUAGUAAAGAGCUGU
rnacentral:lncRNA from 1 species